rnacentral:rRNA from 1 species
ACCAUGCACCGAAGCUGCGGCAGCGACACUAUGUGUUGUUGGGUAGGGGAGCGUUCUGUAAGCCUGCGAAGGUGGCCUGUGAGGGUUGCUGGAGGUAUCAGAAGUGCGAAUGCUGACAUAAGUAACGAUAAAGCGGGUGAAAAGCCCGCUCGCCGGAAGACCAAGGGUUCCUGUCCAACGUUAAUCGGGGCAGGGUGAGUCGACCCCUAAGGCGAGGCCGAAAGGCGUAGUCGAUGGGAAACAGGUUAAUAUUCCUGUACUUGGUGUUACUGCGAAGGGGGGACGGAGAAGGCUAUGUUAGCCGGGCGACGGUUGUCCCGGUUUAAGCAUGUAGGCUGGUUAUCCAGGCAAAUCCGGAUAAUCAAGGCUGAGGUGUGAUGACGAGGCACUACGGUGCUGAAGUAACAAAUGCCCUGCUUCCAGGAAAAGACUCUAAGCAUCAGGUAACAUCAAAUCGUACCCCAAACCGACACAGGUGGUCAGGUAGAGAAUACCAAGGCGCUUGAGAGAACUCGGGUGAAGGAACUAGGCAAAAUGGUGCCGUAACUUCGGGAGAAGGCACGCUGGUGUGUAGGUGAAGUCCCUGCGGAUGGAGCUGAGACCAGUCGAAGAUACCAGCUGGCUGCAACUGUUUAUUAAAAACACAGCACUGUGCAAACACGAAAGUGGACGUAUACGGUGUGACGCCUGCCCGGUGCCGGAAGGUUAAUUGAUGGGGUUAUCCGUAAGGAGAAGCUCUUGAUCGAAGCCCCAGUAAACGGCGGCCGUAACUAUAACGGUCCUAAGGUAGCGAAAUUCCUUGUCGGGUAAG